AUUGAACGCUGGCGGCAGGCCUAACACAUGCAAGUCGAACGGUAACAGAAAGCAGCUUGCUGCUUUGCUGACGAGUGGCGGACGGGUGAGUAAUGUCUGGGAAACUGCCUGAUGGAGGGGGAUAACUACUGGAAACGGUAGCUAAUACCGCAUAACGUCGCAAGACCAAAGAGGGGGACCUUCGGGCCUCUUGCCAUCGGAUGUGCCCAGAUGGGAUUAGCUAGUAGGUGGGGUAACGGCUCACCUAGGCGACGAUCCCUAGCUGGUCUGAGAGGAUGACCAGCCACACUGGAACUGAGACACGGUCCAGACUCCUGCGGGAGGCAGCAGUGGGGAAUAUUGCACAAUGGGCGCAAGACUGAUGCAGCCAUGCCGAGUGUAUGAAGAAGGCCUUCGGGUUGUAAAGUACUUUCAGCGGGGAGGAAGGGAGUAAAGUUAAUACCUUUGCUCAUUGACGUUACCCGCAGAAGAAGCACCGGCUAACUCCGCG
rnacentral:rRNA from 1 species